rnacentral:tRNA from 2 species
AGGGGUAUAGCUCAGUUGGUAGAGCAUCGGAUUCCAAAUCCGAGUGUCGAGGGUUCGAGUCCUUCUGCCCCUGCCA